UACGAAGGGGGCUAGCGUUGUUCGGAAUCACUGGGCGUAAAGGGCGCGUAGGCGGCCGUUCAAGUCGGGGGUGAAAGCCUGUGGCUCAACCACAGAAUGGCCUUCGAUACUGGAUGGCUCGAGACCGGAAGAGGUUGGUGGAACUGCGAGUGUAGAGGUGAAAUUCGUAGAUAUUCGCAAGAACACCGGUGGCGAAGGCGGCCAACUGGUCCGGUUCUGACGCUGAGGCGCGAAAGCGUGGGGAGCAAACAGGAUUAGAAACCCCCGUAGUCC
rnacentral:rRNA from 1 species